rnacentral:lncRNA from 1 species
GAACUAUCACUCCACAACUGUAAACCUCUUAGACUUCUUAUCUGCAGCAAAAAAUUAACAAAGCUAUUAUGUUGGUUAAAUAUUACAAUUACAAUUGAAAAUAAAAAUGAGGAAAAUAAAAUAAUCUUCUUCAGGUGCGAAUAUUUGGUUGAGAAUCAAAUCCUUGUAUCAAAUGUUUUUCUAAUCACAAUGUAUAACUCAACAAAUACAAGAGUUGAGUCGAAACUCCACCAAAAGAACACCUAUCUUCAACUAAAUAAACUCUCUUUUUACUAUAUCUUCAGUAACAGAAACUUUUCCUACUGGGAUGACACCAUAGCCACGACACCUAGACUCAACUUCUCUGGCUAAAAGCUUAAAUUACUCCAUUAUUUAUACAGCAAAACUGGUCAAAUUUUUCAACCUAACAUUAUGCCUUUUCCUUAAUUUAGACAUGCAAUAUCUAACAUUAAAAAAGUUAAGGCAAAUCAAAAGCAGUAAAUAACGUACGUAGACUGAUUAUCUUGGAAAACAACUGUCGAACCAAUAUUUAAUGGAAUCGAAAAUGUGAACUUUGGAGAACUUGUGAUUUAACGUGGUAGACUGGCAGAUUGGAGAAGAACGUUAACUCAAGAAAAUUCAUAACCUUAGUUGGUGACUCGAAAUCUUGAUAAUUUGAAACGUGAUUCAUCAUCAAGAAAAGAGUAAUUUUGAACCAAUGCACAACAUGGAGAGAGAGGCUUACCAAGACAAUAUUAGACAUACAUUAGGAAUCAUAUCAAAGAAAAUACUUAGUGUUGGUGACUCGAAACCUUGAAAAUUCCAUAGAUAGAAGCAAUAGCUUCCUGGCGAUACACUUUGGAAAGUCAAAACCAUACAAUUGGGGACGACAAAAUACAAAAGAUUGGAGCAUUGAGUUUGAAAGUGAGGAUACAACAUUGUAUGAACUCGGCACUGAGUAAACUUGCAGUGGGAUACAACGAACAAAUAAGAUAAUAGCCGAGAUAAAAUAAG